ACGCUGUAUUAUAUCAAAAUUUAUUGAUCUCAUUAUCAUUACAUUAAUAUCAGAUUUAAAUCAGGUCAUACUGACAUUUAAAUUUUGUUUAUUAACCUUGUCAUUAUAUAGCAAAAAUAGUGGAUGAAAGAUGACAUUAAAAGUAAAAAACAAAAGAAAGUACAAUUAUGUACCAUAUGUAAACAAACACAUUAGGACAACUACAACAUGGCUUGUUGUAAGUGAACUAUUUGUAUAUCACUAUAAGCAUCAAGACUAGUAGUA